AAUUAAAUAUUUAUUGUAAGUUAAUAAAAAAAAUAUUUUUGUUGUUAGUAUUAAUAAAGAAUACAGUAAAAUAAUUAUAAUUAAAUAGUAUAGAGAUAGAAGAUUGAAAUAUAAUUAAAUUAGUUAGAAGAAGAAUUAAAUUUUUGUACCUUGUGUAUCAGGGUUUAUUAAAAAAUACUUAGUUAAUUUAAUAAUCUCGAAUUAUAAAGAGCUAAUAUUAUAUAAAUUUAAUUGUGACAUAAUUUUUUAUAAUAUAAUAUUAGAAAUGAAACGUUAGUCGUUUUUUAAGAUAUCUAGUUUUUUAAGAAAUAAAUUUAAUUUAGUUAAUCUAAUGUUUUGUAUUUCAUUAGUAGUAUAAAAUUUAGUUUAAAUAAUAUUUUAAGGGAUAAGCUUUAAAAUAAAAAUUUAUAAUAUUGGUUUUAUAUUAAAAGAUUUGUAGGAUUGAAAAUUUUUAUCUUUAAUUUGUUAUAAUUAAUUUUUUAGUUAAUAAGAUUUAUAUUAAUAUUUAAAUUUUUUAUUAAGAUAAAUUAAUAAAUUUAAUAUUAUAAGGAAUAAUGAUAAAAUUAGUAUAGAUUAAUGUAAAAUUAAGUUGAAUAAUAAAGGUUAAAUUAAGGAACUCGGCAAAUAUGUUUUUCGCCUGUUUAUUAAAAACAUGUCUUUUUGAUCAUAAUUUAAAGUCUGGCCUGCCCAAUGAGGAGUUUAAUGGCCGCGGUAAUUUGACCGUGCAAAGGUAGCAUAAUCAUUAGUUUUUUAAUUGAAAGCUGGUAUGAAUGGUCGGACGAGAGAACAACUGUCUCAGUUUAAUUGAAAUAGAAUUUUAUUUUUAAGUAAAAAAGCUUAAAUGAUUUUAAAAGACGAGAAGACCCUAUAGAGUUUUAUAUAAAAUAUAAAUUAUUUAAUUUAGUAUAAAGAAUAAUAUUUUGUAUUUUGUAUUUUGUUGGGGUGACAGAAAAAUUGAAUAAACUUUUUUUAUAGAAAAUCAUUAAUGUAUGAAUAAAUGAUCCGUAUUUUACGAUUAUAAGAUUAAAUUACCUUAGGGAUAACAGCGUAAUUUUUUUUGAGAGUUCUAAUCGAAAAAAGAGUUUGCGACCUCGAUGUUGGAUUAAAAUUAAUUUUUGGUGUAGGGGCUAAAAUAUUAGGUCUGUUCGACCUUUGAAAUUUUACAUGAUCUGAGUUUAAACCGGCGUGAGCCAGGUUGGUUUCUAUCUUUAAAUAAGUUAAAUAUUUUAGUACGAAAGGAUCAAAUAUUUAUAAAAUUUAUUAUAUUGUGAAUAUUAUU
rnacentral:rRNA from 1 species